CCACCUAUGAGCAGAGACAGGCGAGGCCCUGAACAUCCAGGAGCAUCUGUAUUUAUUGGGUACAAGGCAGGGGGAAGGGUAGUGAGUGAGAUCAUCUUAAGGACAGUGAUAGGGUCAAGACAAUCACAUGAGCGAUAAGCAAGGGGUCCACCCCCAUUAGGUCACAUAGGCCAGGAGGUGGGCAAUGCACAGC